UAUGACCAGCUUGCGAUCUUAUGUGAUUCCCGGCUCAUCCUGCCUUUUUCGGGUCAUUGGGUUGGUGUUGGAGUUGUUUGCCAUAUUCCGAACGUUUCACCUAUCAUUGCGCCGUACUGUUCUUGACCUGCUGCGAAGCAACGAACUGCAACGGCAGUCACUCGCCUCAGCGAAAUUCUGACUGCUGCAUAUCAAAGGAGCAUCGGGACCUGAUGGUGUACUGCAAAUGCUGAAGUUGAAUUCUUUGAGCCUUCAUCUAAAGAAACCAAGUGUGCUCUCGCGUGGUUCUGACGGAAAAGCAGUUUAAACAAGGAUAUGCCGCUCUGAAGCAUUGAGAUGACGAAAAGUCGUGGGGGCUGCACCUCUGCUUUCGAAAGAUGAAACAGUCAUUCCACACUGUGCUUACUGGCUUAUUAUCGAGUAUGACAAAUCCGACAGACCUGGACUGCCUUUUUCAAGGAAGUUUAAAAUAGCAUCCCCUAUGCGCCUCCGUUUCAAUUAAGAUCUGUGCUACAAGAAUGACAGACCACUCAACAGCGACGAACAUUUGAAGGUGGAAGUGCUGGAACGAAGAUGCGUUAAUCUGUGUGAAAGGUGCUUUGUAUGUGUCUGAGUCGAGGACAUAGGUCAAAAGCUAAUUUCUGUAUUCAGAAUAGGUGUCAACUAUGCUUCUGCUAUCUACUAACCAGCUCCAAUUUUUAGGGUUCCCUGUAAACUAAUGGAGCACAUCAUAUACCAGCACGUUGUUAACCAUGUUGAGUCUAUCAAUUUCUUUUUUUAAAAUUCCAGCAUGGCUUUAGAAAAGGGUAUUUAGGCAAAAUUAACAUAAUUCGGUCACAGCAUUUUAAACUGUCUUGAUUUCUGGGUUCAUGUAGAUGCAGUAUCUUUUAUUUUGUAAGGGCUUUUGACACUGUGCUUUAUGAUCGCUUGUUGGCCAAACUAGCCUCAUUAAAAUUUGAUCCUGCUACCAUUAACUGGACAUGCAGUUUCUUGACUAACCGCAAUCGUACCAACAAUGCGUGAGGAGAACCUAUCAUAUAGCCACCAUGCAGCGUUUGUCACGUUACAAUUGCAUCACAUUUCAACCUAGUGUGAAGCAAGGCCUUUUGGUGAUCGGUCUUGUAUAAUUACACGCCCCUCUGUUAUGUAACACCACACGGUUCUUCAGCCUAUGACAGAUAAAUGAAUAUAUUGCCAAGUAAAUUGUUUACAAGGCUCAUUACCCCAUUUCACCACAUUACCGCAAGCAAUUGUUAGAGUAGUGGCCCAGGGUAUGAAGCUCGCCAUUAAUCAUCAUUGAAACAAAGUUCGUAAUGUAGAAUCCUUUACUGAAAACACCGACUUAACACAACCAUUGAGAACAAAGAGAGUGAACGUUUCGUUGCCUAUCCGGGUGGCAUCAUCGCUACAACAGAGAACAGUCAAAAACAACAUCAAUGGAGUCAAAUCGUGGUGUGCAUUCCUUUCAUCCAAGGUGUUUCAUAUGCCAUUUGAAGGCACUCUGCCCAUCAGGCAUUAAGACUGUGCAUAUAAAGUUAAGUGCAUAGACUGUACAUUGGUGAGACAGACAAAAGACGUGGGACAAGACUAAAAGAGCACACAAGGGACGUUGCCAGGGCUUCUAAUGCUUCUCAAACCAGGACCAUUGUUGGCCUAAGGGACAUGUAUUUAAUUUUGAUGGUGCGGUAACCUGUGCACAUGACUAGCGAUGUGGUCGUAGAAAGUGCUUAGAGUCCUGUUUUAUCAGACGUGAUGCAUCAGCCUGUAAUACAAACCGUGGCCCCCUAUCGGAUGUGUAUGAUGCCCUCUUAGAUAAGUAGGCUGAUGUGCUCGUCUUUGGCCUCUGUUGUACUGAUGAUGCCACCGGGAUAGGCGGCAAAACGUUUACGCUCUGUUUUUAAUCGUUGUGUUAAGCAGUGUUUGCAGUAAAGGAUGUUACAUUAUGAAGUCGUCACCCGGCAUUUGGAAUAUAUUUUCAAAUAAAGUUGUUGUUUUACAAAGCUCAUUACAUUGUAGAAAUCAUUCUUAUUGCCUAUUGUUUAGGGGAUACC